rnacentral:lncRNA from 1 species
AUGUCUCUAUUAGUCAGCUUUGCUGAAGUAACAAACAACCCUCAAAAUUUUAGUGGCUUGCACCAACAUAUAUUGCUCUUAUUAAUGUCAGCAACUGCAGAUUUGCUACUUCAGCUCUACCCUACGGUGUUUUUUCCUUGCAGGCCCCAUGUGUCUUCUCAUUCUGGAAACCAGGCAGAAAAGACAGCCCUUUAUGAGAUAUGCCAUUCUUGGGGCAGAAGGAAAGAGCUAGACCCUGUUAACUUAAAUAACCUCCAUGGAUGUGGCAUACGCAAGUGCUCAAGCCAGACACAGUAACAGCCAGUGUCAGUUGCCAAACACAUGAGUGAAGAAGCCUUCAUAUUAUUCCAACUCCAGCCUUAGAGCCUUCUAGCUGAGGCCCCUUCAUCACAGUAGAGGUAAGCCCUCCCUAUCCUUUCCUGUUUGAAUUUUUGAUCCAUAAAAACUGUGAGAAAUAAAUAUUUAUUUUUGUUUUAAGUCA